UCGAGCAUAUCUAAAGGGACGGCUCUUUAGAUAUCUUUGAAGAUUCACCUACCAUGGUUCGAAAACCAAAAAAAAAAAAUUUUUUUUCUCAAAUUUCAAUGUUUAUGCUACUUAAUACUGAACUAAUUUACUUACUCUCAAAUAAUUAGUAAUACUUUUUCUUAGAAUGGAGCCCAAAGUAAGGAAGCUCAAUUUCGUUACAAACCAGCGACAGGCGGAGUCCACACUAAGACAAGAACACAACGAACUUCGC